rnacentral:rRNA from 1 species
GUGGGGAAUAUUGCGCAAUGGGCGAAAGCCUGACGCAGCAACGCCGCGUGCGGGAUGAAGGCCUUCGGGUUGUAAACCGCUUUCAGCAGGGACGAAACUGACGGUACCUGCAGAAGAAGCCCCGGCUAACUACGUGCCAGCAGCCGCGGUAAUACGUAGGGGGCUAGCGUUAUCCGGAUUCAUUGGGCGUAAAGCGCGCGUAGGCGGGCUGUUAAGUCAGAUGUGAAAACCGGGGGCUCAACCCGCGGCCUGCAUCUGAAACUGGCAGCCUCGAGUCUGGUAGAGGAAAGUGGAAUUCCCAGUGUAGCGGUGAAAUGCGCAGAUAUUGGGAGGAACACCAGUGGCGAAGGCGGCUUUCUGGGCCACGACUGACGCUGAGGCGCGAAAGCUAGGGGAGCAAACAGGAUUAGAAACCCUAGUAGUCC